rnacentral:misc_RNA from 1 species
ACUGCUCAGCACUAGGCCGGCAGAAUCUGAGCGAUGUCUUCCACACUCCCUGCCCUGCUCUGCGUCGGGCUGUGUCUGAGUCAGAGGAUCAGCGCCCAGCAGCGUGAGUCCUUCCUUCAAAGCCCAGGGUCACUCUUCCGGGUUCAGGCCAAGCUCCUUCCACCCAAGCACGGCUGGGGAGAGGGGACAGGGUGCUGGCUUCCCAGGAGAGCUUGGGGCCAGCAGCUGGGUGGAGCCUAAGGUUGGGGGGAGGGGGCUCCGCUGGAACUCCAGCCUCUGAUUCCCUUCCAGAGACUCUCCCAAAACCGUUCAUCUGGGCCGAGCCCCAUUUCAUGGUUCCAAAGGAAAAGCAAGUGACCAUCUGUUGCCAGGGAAAUUAUGGGGCUGUUGAAUACCAGCUGCACUUUGAAGGAAGCCUUUUUGCCGUGGACAGACCAAAACCCCCUGAGCGGAUUAACAAAGUCAAAUUCUACAUCCCGGACAUGAACUCCCGCAUGGCAGGGCAAUACAGCUGCAUCUAUCGGGUUGGGGAGCUCUGGUCAGAGCC